rnacentral:rRNA from 1 species
GACGAACGCUGGCGGCGUGCUUAACACAUGCAAGUCGAACGGACAGGCCCUGCUCUUGUGGGGUGCUCGUGUGGCGAACGCGGGAGUAACACAUGUGUAACCUGUCCCUGUCUUUCGGGUAACUUCAGGAAACUGGGGCUAAUACAGGAUAGGAGCUCCUGCUGCAUGGUGGGGGUUGGAAAGUUUCGGCGGUUGGGGAUGGACUCGCGGCUUAUCAGCUUGUUGGUGGGGUAGUGGCUUACCAAGGCUUUGACGGGUAGCCGGCCUGAGAGGGUGACCGGCCACAUUGGGACUGAGAUACGGCCCAGACUCCUACGGGAGGCAGCAGUGGGGAAUAUUGCACAAUGGGCGGAAGCCUGAUGCAGCAACGCCGCGUGCGGGAUGACGGCCUUCGGGUUGUAAACCGCUUUCGCCUGUGACGAAGCGUGAGUGACGGUAAUGGGUAAAGAAGCACCGGCUAACUACGUG